UACGUAGGGGGCAAGCGUUGUUCGGAAUUACUGGGCGUAAAGGGCGCGUAGGCGGCCCAGCAAGUCGGGAGUGAAAGCCCGGGGCUCAACCCCGGAACGGCUUUCGAAACUGCUGAGCUAGAGUACAGAAGGGGCAACCGGAAUUCCCAGUGUAGCGGUGAAAUGCGUAGAUAUUGGGAAGAACACCUGAGGCGAAGGCGGGUUGCUGGGCUGAUACUGACGCUGAGGCGCGAAAGCCAGGGGAGCAAACGGG
rnacentral:rRNA from 1 species